GGGUAUGGCUCAAAUGGUAGAGCACCUGCCUGGCAAGCACAGGUCCUAGGUUCAAACCCCAGUACCACCA
rnacentral:tRNA from 1 species